rnacentral:rRNA from 1 species
UACGUAGGGUGCAAGCGUUGUCCGGAAUUAUUGGGCGUAAAGAGCUCGUAGGCGGUCUGUCGCGUCUGCUGUGAAAACUCGGGGCUUAACCCCGGGCCUGCAGUGGGUACGGGCAGACUAGAGUUCGGUAGGGGAGACUGGAAUUCCUGGUGUAGCGGUGAAAUGCGCAGAUAUCGGGAGGAACACCCGUAGCGAAGGCGGCACUCUGGGCCGGUACUGACGCUGAGGAGCGAAAGCGUGGGGAGCAAACAGG